rnacentral:misc_RNA from 1 species
UUUCCGUAGGUGAACCUGCGGAAGGAUCAUUAUUGUGUAACCGAGGUGCGAGGGCUGUCGCUGACCCGACAGGUCGUGGACGCCCGACUGCCCUCACACACAUCCAUCUCACCCCUAUGUGCACCACCGCGUGGGUCCCCCUUUGGCUUGUUCGGAGGGGGGCUUACGUUUUCACACAAACUUUUUAUGCAGUGUAGAAUGUAUUUUUUGUCUUUGCGAUCACGCAAUCAAAACAACUUUCAACAACGGAUCUCUUGGCUCUC